GAUGAAGAACGCAGCGAAAUGCGAUAAGUAAUGCGAAUUGCAGAAUCCGUGAGUCAUCGAAUCUUUGAACGCACAUUGCGCCCGCCAGUAUUCUGGCGGGCAUGCCUGUCUGAGCGUCAUUUCAACCCUCACGCCCCUAGGGCGUGGUGUUGGGGAUCGGCCAGCGCCCUCGCGGGCGAGGCCGUCCCCUAAAUCUAGUGGCGGACCCGUCGUGGCCUCCCCUGCGAAGUAGUGAUAUUCCGCAUAGGAGAGCGACGAGCCCCUGCCGUUAAACCCCCAACUUUCUCAGGUUGACCUCAGAUCAGGUAGGAAUACCCGCUGAACUUAAGCAUAUCAAUAAGCGGAGGA
rnacentral:misc_RNA from 1 species